AGCAUAUCAAUAAGCGGAGGAAAAGAAACUAACAAGGAUUCCCCUAGUAGCGGCGAGCGAAGCGGGAAGAGCUCAAAUUUAUAAUCUGGCACCUUCGGUGUCCGAGUUGUAAUCUCUAGAAGUGUUUUCCGCGUUGGACCGCACACAAGUCUGUUGGAAUACAGCGGCAUAGUGGUGAAACCCCCGUAUAUGGUGCGGACGCCCAGCGCUUUGUGAUACACUUUCAAUGAGUCGAGUUGUUUGGGAAUGCAGCUCAAAUUGGGUGGUAAAUUCCAUCUAAAGCUAAAUAUUGGCGAGAGACCGAUAGCGAACAAGUACCGUGAGGGAAAGAUGAAAAGCACUUUGGAAAGAGAGUUAACAGUACGUGAAAUUGUUGGAAGGGAAACGCUUGAAGUCAGACUUGCUUGCCGGAGCUUGCUUCGGUUUGCAGGCCAGCAUCAGUUUUCCGGGGUGGAUAAUGACGGUUUGAAGGUAGCAGUCUCGGCUGUGUUAUAGCUUUCCGUUGGAUACGCCCUGGGGGACUGAGGAACGCAGCGUGCUUUUUGCGAAAGACUCGUCUUUUUCACGCUUAGGAUGCUGGUGGAAUGGCUUUAAACGACCCGUCUUGAAACACGGACCAAGGAGUCUAACAUGCUCGCGAGUAUUUGGGUGUCAAACCCGGAUGCGCAAUGAAAGUGAAUGUAGGUGGGAACCGCAAGGUGCACCAUCGACCGAUCUGGAUUUUUUAAGAUGGAUUUGAGUAAGAGCGCGUAUGUUGGGACCCGAAAGAUGGUGAACUAUGCCUGAAUAGGGCGAAGCCAGAGGAAACUCUGGUGGAGGCUCGUAGCGGUUCUGACGUGCAAAUCGAUCGUCAAAUUUGGGUAUAGGGGCGAAAGACUAAUCGAACCAUCUAGUAGCUGGUUCCUGCCGAAGUU
rnacentral:rRNA from 1 species